rnacentral:ncRNA from 1 species
AUAAAAAACCCUGCAUUUCUGCAGGGUCCUUCUAUAUCCUCUGUAAGGAAAGAAGGCAAAGGGAGAGGAGAAACCGGAGGAAGAACUUAUGGGGAAACGUAAGUCUUCUCCGCG